UGGUGAUCGGCAAUUUGGGAGGUGACUUCUCGUCUUCCCGAGUCCUGAAGCUGAGCAUACCUCUUCGCCAUUUUUGGGGGUUUCCGAUACUGUAUUAGGUUAAGUGGCUCACUGUGAGGAGCUCGGCUACAACUCCCAGCAGUUAUUCUUCAUCCGGGAAGCAUUAGGAUGUUGGUUCGAGAUGAGCGUCUCGAUGUGGGAAUGGUAUUGGCACGAUCUUCGCAGUUAAGGCGGCAGGUAAAGGAUUUAUGGAGUCGCCUGGAG